rnacentral:rRNA from 1 species
GACGAACGCUGGCGGCGUGCUUAACACAUGCAAGUCGAACGGAAAGGCCCUGCUUUUGUGGGGUGCUCGAGUGGCGAACGGGUGAGUAACACGUGAGUAACCUGCCCUUGACUUUGGGAUAACUUCAGGAAACUGGGGCUAAUACCGGAUAGGAGCUCCUGCUGCAUGGUGGGGUUGGGAAGGUUUCGGCGGUUGGGGAGGGACUCGCGGCUUAUCAGCUUGUGGGUGGGGUAGUGGCUUACCAAGGCUUUGACGGGUAGCCGGCCUGAGAGGGUGACCGGCCACAUUGGGACUGAGAUACGGCCCAGACUCCUACGGGAGGCAGCAGUGGGGAAUAUUGCACAAUGGGCGGAAGCCUGAUGCAGCAACGCCGCGUGCGGGAUGACGGCCUUCGGGUUGUAAACCGCUUUCGCCUGUGACGAAGCGUGAGUGACGGUAAUGGGUAAAGAAGCACCGGCGAACUACG